UAGGGAAUCUUCCACAAUGGACGCAAGUCUGAUGGAGCAACGCCGCGUGAGUGAAGAAGGUUUUCGGAUCGUAAAGCUCUGUUGUUGGUGAAGAAGGAUAGAGGCAGUAACUGGUCUUUAUUUGACGGUAAUCAACCAGAAAGUCACGGCUAACUACGUGCCAGCAGCCGCGGUAAUACGUAGGUGGCAAGCGUUGUCCGGAUUUAUUGGGCGUAAAGCGAGCGCAGGCGGAAUGAUAAGUCUGAUGUGAAAGCCCACGGCUCAACCGUGGAACUGCAUCGGAAACUGUCAUUCUUGAGUGCAGAAGAGGAGAGUGGAAUUCCAUGUGUAGCGGUGGAAUGCGUAGAUAUAUGGAAGAAAACCAGUGGCGAAGGCGGCUCUCUGGACUGCAACUGACGCUGAGGCUCGAAAGCAUGGGUAGCGAACAGG
rnacentral:rRNA from 1 species